CCCUAGCUCACUUUUCCUCCCCACUCUCGCCCCCUCCUCGCUCGAAGCCGUCGCCCGAGCUCUGUCAUCAACGUCUCCGUGUCGAUCCCGCGGCCACCGGCCAUCCCUCGUCGCUGCACCAUGUCGAGGAGCACCGCCGUCCUCUUCUUCAUCGACUGCAAGCGCCGAUUCCAGCUGGAGCCUCUCUGAGCCGUCGCAAUCGUCGUCUCCGUCGACUACAUCCACCACUGUCGUCGCUCGAUCUACCGCCGUCGACGCCUCCUCGACCCUCUCCGGCCUCUCCCUGGCUCGGUGACCCCGAGGCUACCGGUGACCCCCAGUUCGACUACGGUGUUGACGACCCGUCCUUCUUGCCAGAGCAACCAGAUGCCGGAGCCCAGGAGCCAGACGCCACCGUCGACGACGACUCCUACUACACCGGAGGUGCCUACUACUACGUGCAGCCCGCUGAUGACGACCAGGAGUAGUUAGGAGGAUCCCAGGCAGGAGGCAUGCGCCUCUUUCGAUCUGUAUCCCAGUUUGUGCUAGCCUUCUUAAGGCAAACUUGUUUAACUUAUGUCUGUACUCAGAUAUUGUUGCUUCCGCUGACUCGUCUAUGAUCAAGCACUUGUAUUCGAGCCCUCGAGGC
rnacentral:rRNA from 1 species